UACGUAGGGCGCAAGCGUUGUCCGGAAUUAUUGGGCGUAAAGAGCUCGUAGGCGGCGUGUCACGUCGGUUGUGAAAGCCCCGGGGCUUAACUCCGGGUCUGCAGUCGAUACGGGCAGGCUAGAGUUCGGUAGGGGAGAUCGGAAUUCCUGGUGUAGCGGUGAAAUGCGUAGAGUAUCUGGAGGAACACCGGUGGCGAAGGCGGCAUCCUGGACCGAUACUGACGCUGAGGAGCGAAAGCCAGGGGAGCAAACGGG
rnacentral:rRNA from 1 species